AUUAGAGUUUGAUCCUGGCUCAGGACGAACGCUGGCGGCGUGCUUAACACAUGCAAGUCGAGCGAUGAAGCCCCUUCGGGAGUGGAUUAGCGGCGGACGGGUGAGUAACACGUGGGUAACCUGCCUCAAAGAGGGGGAUAGCCUCCCGAAAGGGAGAUUAAUACCGCAUAACAAGUAACUUCCGCAUGGAAGUAACUUUAAAGGAGAAAUCCGCUUUGAGAUGGACCCGCGGCGCAUUAGCUAGUUGGUAGGGUAACGGCCUACCAAGGCAACGAUGCGUAGCCGACCUGAGAGGGUGAUCGGCCACAUUGGAACUGAGAGACGGUCCAGACUCCUACGGGAGGCAGCAGUGGGGAAUAUUGCACAAUGGGCGAAAGCCUGAUGCAGCAACGCCGCGUGAGUGAAGAAGGUUUUCGGAUUGUAAAGCUCUGUCUUUGGGGACGAUAAUGACGGUACCCAAGGAGGAAGCCACGGCUAACUACGUGCCAGCAGCCGCGGUAAUACGUAGGUGGCAAGCGUUGUCCGGAAUUACUGGGCGUAAAGAGUGCGUAGGCGGAUAUUUAAGUGAGAUGUGAAAUACCCGGGCUUAACCCGGGCACUGCAUUUCAAACUGGAUAUCUAGAGUGCAGGAGAGGAGAACGGAAUUCCUAGUGUAGCGGUGAAAUGCGUAGAUAUUAGGAAGAACACCAGUGGCGAAGGCGGUUCUCUGGACUGU
rnacentral:rRNA from 1 species